rnacentral:rRNA from 1 species
UAUUCAGUCGAUAAUAGAAAAUGGCAUAUAUUAUUCAGGGAUCUGAUUGUAAGCUACGUUGCGAAGCAUGCAGAGUUCAUUAUUCAGAACGAAAGAUAGGGAUCAAGCAAUCAGAUACGUCGUAGUCCUAUCUAUAACUAUGCCGACUAGGGAUUGGAAUGAACAUCACCAUUUCAGUACUUAUGAGAAAUCAAAGUCUUUGGGUCUGGGGGGAGUAUGGUCGCAAGACUGAACGUAAAGAAAUUGACGCACGGCCCCCACCAGGAGUGGAGCUGCGCUAAUAUGACUCAACACGGGAACUUACCAGGUCCAGACAUAGUAGGUGCGAUGUGCUCUUUCUUGAUUCUAUGGGUGGUGGUGCAUGCCCGUUCUUAGUUGGUGGAGUGAUUUGUCUGGUUAAUUCCGAUAACGAACGAGACCUUAACCUGCUAACUAGAUAUUUUCAUUUUAUGAAUAUAUAUUAUAAGAAAGACUAUAUGCUUUAAGUAUAUGGAAGUUUGAGGCAAUAACAGGUCUGUGAUGCCCUUAUAUGUCCUGGGCUGCACGCGUGCUACACUGAUAUAUACAACAAGUGCCUAGCUAGAUAUAGUAUGGCAAUCUCGAAUAUAUAUCGUGAUGGGGAUAGAUCUUUGCAAUUAUAGAUCUUGAACGAGGAAUUCCUAGUAAGUGCAAGUCAUCAUCUUGCAUUGAUUAUGUCCCUGCCCUUUGUACACACCGCCCGUCGCUCCUACCGAUACCGGGUGAUCCGGUGAACCUGUUGGACCCGUAGGGAAAAAUAAGUAAAUCAAUCACCAAGAGGAAGGCGGUUCGA